GGGGUGAGUAACACGUGGAUAACCUACCUAUAAGACUGGGAUAACUUCGGGAAACCGGAGCUAAUACCGGAUAAUAUUUUGAACCGCAUGGUUCAAAAGUGAAAGACGGUCUUGCUGUCACUUAUAGAUGGAUCCGCGCUGCAUUAGCUAGUUGGUAAGGUAACGGCUUACCAAGGCAACGAUGCAUAGCCGACCUGAGAGGGUGAUCGGCCACACUGGAACUUAGACACGGUCCAG
rnacentral:rRNA from 1 species